GGCGGAUGUAGCCAAGUGGAUCAAGGC
rnacentral:ncRNA from 82 species